rnacentral:lncRNA from 1 species
GAACGUCAUCUUAUGUAUAUACUUUUAUUCAAGUUGGUUGCAUUUGAUUCCAGUGACCCUUGCUAUAGCAGUGAAUAGUAUUAGAAAACCAAGUUCUAAGCAACAAACUAUGGGAAAUAAACAUAGGAAGCUCUUUCCUUAAUAGUCAAGGUUGCACCUAUAUCCCAAUAUAGUACUGUGCCAGGCCUGGGGACAUCGUUUCCAUUCCCUUUCCUAUCUGCUCGCUGAAUUGUGCAAGCUCUGUCCCUCCUGGUGUCCUCAUAGGACAGCCCUUGCAAGUGCAUCAUCAUGCAUGCUCUACCUCUGUCAUUCUAGCCUUCCCCUCAACAGAUCCCAGAAGACUGUUGCAGCCCUCACAGCCUGCCAGGUGACCAACAGAUCCCUCAGAAUUUUCUGUGCUGAAUAUGUCAGUCAAUGGUAGGGAUCUCAUGGGCUUCUCCUUCUGAGUAACACAGACGCUAAGGCUUUAUUUCACUCAAAGCUUUAGACACAAUUCAAAACAAAGCAAUAUGGAAGUUCCAGGCAUUGCAGUUGGUCAGACCUUCAAAGUUCUGCAAGACUUCUCAGAAUCCAGCAUAUCACACGAGCUGUUUGUGCAACCAGCCUGUGGGGUCAGCCUUGAAACUUGGCCUUAGAGUUGUUUUCUGGGAGAGGUUGUACCUAACCAGGUAAAGUCACUCAUACCUGCUCCCUUCUUUUUUAUUUUAGUGCCUCUGGGCUAGUUGAGAUCCCCAGAAGCUCGACUUGGAUUACUGCAGUUAUCUAAUUGGUCAUUUUAUCUCCAGCCUCCAGCCUCCUUGUAUUUUCAUCUUAGAUGUGGCUACCAGAGCAAUUUUUUUUUUCUUUUCUGAGACAGGAUGGAUGUCUUUCUUUUUUUUAGUUUUUGUAUUUUAUUUUAUUUUAUUUUAUUUUAUUUUAUUUUAUUUUAUUUUUG